UACAGAGACUGCAAGCGUUAUUCGGAUUCACUGGGCGUAAAGGGUGCGCAGGCGGCCAAGUGUGUGAAGUGUGAAAGCCCGGGGCUUAACCCCGGAAUUGCACCUCAAACUACUUGGCUAGAGCAUUGGAGAGGGUAGCAGAAUUCACGGUGUAGCAGUGAAAUGCGUAGAUAUCGUGAGGAAUACCAGAGGCGAAGGCGGCUACCUGGACAAUUGCUGACGCUCAGGCACGAAAGCGUGGGGAGCAAAAGGG
rnacentral:rRNA from 1 species